UGGAUAACGUUUUCACAAAAA
rnacentral:piRNA from 1 species